rnacentral:rRNA from 1 species
GUCUGUUUGUAGUUAUAAAGAGUCUAGCCUGCUCUCUGAUUAAUUUAAGGGCCGCGGUAAUUUGACCGUGCAAAGGUAGCAUAAUAAUUAGUUUUUUAAUUGGAAUCUUGUAUGAAUGGUUGGACAAAAGAAAUACUGUCUCUGUUAUUAUUAUUGAAUUUAACUUUUAAGUGAAAAGGCUUAAAUUAUUUAAAAAGACGAUAAGACCCUAUAAAGCUUUAUAAGUAGAUAUUAUUUAAUUGAAUUAUUUAUAAGAAUUUAAUGAUUUAAUUAUUGUGUUGGGGAGAUAGAAUUAUAAUAAAUAAUAACUGAAAUUAGAUAUUACAAUUAUAGGUGUAUUUAAAUAAUAAAAGAUCCUAUAUAAAGAUUAAAAGUUUAAGUUACUUUAGGGAUAACAGCGUUAUUUUUUUUGAGAGUUCAUAUCGAAAAAAAAGAUUGCGACCUCGAUGUUGAAUUAAAAUUUCUAAGCGGUUGUAGAAGUUGCUUUAGAAGGUCUGUUCGACCUUUAAAAUUUUACAUGAUUUGAGUUCAGACCGGCGUAAGCCAGGUUGGUUUCUAUCUUUUAAUAAGUAAAUAAUUAUUUUAGUACGAAAGGAUUAAAUAAUUAAAUUUUAUUUAUAGUUA